GAUGCUAAAGGAGCACUCAAAGAAGAACAGCCAUUGUGAAGCUAAAUUAAUUCUUUGCAUUGGUCUUCUCUGCAGACAAUGUUAGGAAGAUUCCCACACCUGAACCAUUCUUUCUAGGUGACAGAUCUGAGGAAUUGUCCCAGGCAGUGGUAUGCUUCAAGGUGGCUUUUGAACAAGUUGAUAAAUGGUAAUAGGUGACUAAGACCAGACGAUGUUCACCUAAGGGUUCUAAAAAAAUUCAGAUGAACUUGGAGGACUACUAACUGUGAACAGAUGUUGGAGUUCAGACCUUUUCACUGUCAUAUCUCCUCUUUCUGAUCAUCAGUUUGGAUUUCUGAAGGAUUGAGGCCAUUUCUUAAGAAAAAGAACACAACUGGUUUAAUUUGGAUUCCUCAUGUUGCUGAACUUCAAAAUGGAGUACUACAGUAGACUUUUUGUAGCAGUGUUUAACAAAGUACUGUGCAGAUCCAUUUUUCAAAAGUUGCUUUGUUUGCAUGUAAAAAGGGUUAAAAUAGUAUUCAUGAACUAUUAAAAUGCCACAAAGAAGUUACUAGAAUAUACUUUUCUAUUUCACAGGAGGUUAGUAGUGUUUCUCUGAAGGCAAUGGUUAACAUUACCUAGAAACAAUUUUCCACUGAAGUGCAUGGAGAAUUGGUCUUGUCAGCUUGAUAUUCAAGUCAAUUGUCUAAUGCUAUUAGAAAUAAGUCUCCAUUGAAGUGAAUGGAGAUCAAUUUUCAAUAGUAUUUCAUUGAAGUCAAUGGGCCAGUGCCAUCAGAAAUGAGUCUUACUGAAGUUGAUGGAGAUUCAUUUUUGAUAGCAGGCCAUUGAAGUCAAUGGAAAUAAACUCCAGAAAGUUAACCCCAUCGAGGGCAAUUGCAAGUGAUUCUCCAUAGUCUUCCAUUCAAGACACAGAAAGAGAUUCUUGUAUUCCACAGUGUAACUGCAUUCAUUUUUAUAUAAUGACCUUCAUGCAUAUAGUAUCUUUAAACUAUCCAUAAAUGAAUGCCUCACGUGCUAGUAGUGAAGUGACUUUGUAGGCUAACAAAGCGGCUAUAGGUGUUCAUCAUAAUCUCAGAACACCACAUAGCACAGUUCAUAUAAUACUGGAGAAUGUAUCUGAGAGAGAUAAUGUUAGACAGGAUAUCACUUAUCCUAUACUCUUUGAACAGUGCCUGGACUGCUAAUGUCUAGCUAGAUAGCCAUCGGAGGCAGGCUCAAGGGUUCAAAGUUUAAUGUCUCACCAAAGGGUAGCACCUAUAAAAGCACAUCGCUCCGCUCCCCCCCCCCCCCCCCCACUCCAAGUACUGAAGUAUAGAGUCAGUACUUCUAUCAGCUAAAUUCUGGUGUGUGAAUUGAAUCCAUAAUCUUCUAACCUGUAGGCUAAAGUGCCCUCAUUGUAGCUAAACACACAGAAGACAUUUACAGAGCUUCAGGCAUUAACUCAUGGGGAAUUAACCUCACCAUCUUUGUUUAAGCACAAUCACCAUCUCUUAUUUCUUUUCAUCUGUACAGAGCUUUAAACAUUUGAAAAGCUAAUAGUAAACAGAGAAUCAAUAUAAAUUAAAAGAUAGGUGUAUAAGUGGAUCCAGGGAUGAACACUUUAUAUGAACUGAGAGGUUGAUUGAAUGAGAGGGGGAAAAUGGAGUUAAAUAUCCUUAACUUUGUCAUUUUGUGCAUGCCAUUAUGCUAAAAUAUUUAUGAUUAUGUAACCGUAUCACAAUAUAGUAUGCCACCAGGUAAAUAUUUUCCACAGACAUGGAUCAGUUAUAUGGAAAUGUAUGAAUUUUUCAUCAUAUGAUUCUAUAUUCUGUAAUUUAUUUUUUUGUUGAAAUUUCUAUUAACACAAUCUAUAGGUACUCAUUCAGCACUCUGGGUACAUAGCCCAUGAAUUAAAAGCACAACAGAAAUUUUAGGGAAUCAGAAAAAUGUUAAAUUCUUUUUAUCUAUGACUUCUUGUAAUCUAAGAGACAUAGUUCCAAAAUACUGAAGCAAAAGUAUUGGCAAUGUCCAUUGAACUUCUGCCUACAUUGGGGCAAAAAGCCACAGUCCCACUGAUUAAGAAAGUGAAAUAGUAAAUAGGAUAUCAGAAGUUAAACAAAAUACUUUAAACCAAAUCAUGUUUAGGGCUUUAGAUGUUAAAGCUAAGAUGCACAUGGUCUUCAGUAAUGUUAAACCUAACCUGCAAGUCAACAGGCAACUAGUAAAGAGAAAGUAUUCUAAUUCACUGCUUCUUCUUCCUACUUUAAUAGCUGUGUUUUUCAUUCUGUCCUUACUAGAGGUAGCAAAUCAUGUAGCUCAAUACAGAAGUCAUUAGUUUGAGUUUAAAGUCACACGGUGUCAGGAUGGCGGUCGGUUUCUAGUGGAGUGCCCCAAGGUUU